rnacentral:tRNA from 1 species
GCGCUCGUAACACAAUGGAUAGUGUACGAGCCUGCGAAGCUCGGUAUCCAGGUUCGAUUCCUGGCGAGCGCA